rnacentral:rRNA from 1 species
CUACGGGUGGCAGCAGUAGGGAAUCUUAGACAAUGGGGGAAGCCCUGAUCUAGCCAUGCCGCGUGAGUGAUGAAGGCCUUAGGGUUGUAAAGCUCUUUCGCUGGGGAAGAUAAUGACGGUACCCAGUAAAGAAACCCCGGCUAACUCCGUGCCAGCAGCCGCGGUAAUACGGAGGGGGUUAGCGUUGUUCGGAAUUACUGGGCGUAAAGCGCGCGUAGGCGGGCUAUUAAGUCAGGGGUGAAAUCCCGGGGCUCAACCCCGGAACUGCCUUUGAUACUGGUAGUCUUGAGUUCGGGAGAGGUGGGUGGAAUUCCGAGUGUAGAGGUGAAAUUCGUAGAUAUUCGGAGGAACAUCAGUGGCGAAGGCGACUCACUGGCUCGAUACUGACGCUAAGGUGCGAAAGUGUGGGGAGCAAACAGGAUUAGAUACCCCCGUAGUC